rnacentral:tRNA from 1 species
AAAAUCCGUCGACUUUAGAAAUCGUGAC